rnacentral:rRNA from 1 species
ACGGUGGCAGGAACUGUGGCGUGAAGAAGGUGUCUAUCGGUGUGGCUUGCUCGCGUAAGUUCUCCUGAGUGAGGCUCCAUCCCAUGGAGGGUGCAAGGCCCGUGUCGUGAGCAGCCGUCACCGAUGCGCACUUUCAGAGAGUCGCCUUGUUUGCGAGUACAAGGUGAAGUCGGUGGUAAACUCCAUCGAAGGCUAAAUAUGACCACGAGUCCGAUAGCGAACAAGUACCGUGAGGGAAAAUUGAAAAGCACUUUGAAGAGAGAGCGAAACAGUGCGUGAAACCGCUCAGAGGUAAGCAGAUGGGGCCUCGAAGGCAGAGCGUCGAAUUCAGCCGGUUGUCCGUGCGGUUGGCUGGGAUUGGAGAGCGUAAGCCUCUGCCUAGUUGAUUGGUACGGCUGCCGGUGCACUUUCGACGCUUGUACGCCACCGCCGUUGAGGAGCGUCCGUCGGGCUGGCAUGUGGAGCCUUACUCUCGCAAGAGCGUAGGUGUCUCACGGCUAGUCUGUACGCGUUCGCACCUCAACCGGUCAAGUCAGCAUGUGCCAGCGUUUGCGCUGGAUCAGUCGGCUCCGGUCGGGCUGUAUGGAGAUGGCGAGCUUGCUCGACUCUUCUGCACUUGAUG